GGGGAUGUGGUUCAUGUGGUAGAGCAUCUGCUUAGGAAGCAAAGGGCCUGAGUUAAAACCCCAGUAUCUUUU
rnacentral:tRNA from 1 species